GUAGGCAUAAGGGUAUUGAUCGACCGUGUUGUGAAAUGGGAUGGAAGGUUUUCAAACGAUCUGGAAGCGUCGAGGGAGCGGUGGAGAGUGAUGGAAAGGGAAAGUUGGUGAAGGGUUUUGCAGGUGAGGGAGAUUGUAGCAAGUUCUUGAGGGGUUAGCCAUGGAAGGACCAGGACUGCGCAUUGAAAGAAAGGGUGGUUGAAGCCUCGGCUUCCUGGGUCUAGCUCGUUUUGAUGGGAUUUUUUGGGUGGUGGUGGUGGCGACGGCGGCAACAUGGAGAAGGAUCUGGUUGGGUUUGGAUUAGAAAUUUAGAGCUGCUAGUUUCGAGACGAGCUUAUCAUAAGACAUGGCUACAAUUGGAUAUAAUGUCUUUCGACCUCAAUUUCAUUUUCUUUUAUUUGAGCCCAAAAACAAUCAAUCUCAAAAGUUUAAGGAGGAAUUAAGAAAAAUAGGUUAAAAGGUCUUUCUAUUUUGAUUUAAUUCAAUAUUCAUUUAAGUCUUUAAAAUUUUACUUAUAAUAAUAAAAACCCUUACUUUUUUAUUUUAAUUUACUUGGACUCUUAAAUGAAUUAAAAUCUAAUCAUAUGACAAAAUUUAAUCAAUUAAUCUUUUAAUUACAAUCAAUUGAAUUCUUAAAAGAUCUUAUUUCAAAAAAAAAUUCUUAAAGAGAAAAGAACAAAAAAAUUUAUUUUAUUUAUUAUUUAUAUAUAUCUAUCUAUUGCAUAAUGUGAUAAACUUUUAUUUUGUUAUUGAUAUCACAUAAAUCAAGUUAAAUCAAUUUAAAUUUUGCAUCAAAGUUGUUAUCUAAUCUAAAUUAAUUUGCACUAUAAAAAUAAAGUAAAAAGGAAGUAUCAAACAACAUAGUAGAAAUUAAGAAAAAAUUGUAAUAAUUAAGUUGAAAAUAAUCAAUAUUAAGUACAAUCAUGAAUUACAACAAGAAAAGGGAGAAUUAAAGAACUUAUAAUGCACAACCACAUAUUUUGGAUACUUAUUAAAAAAUUACUUUGGUUCACAUCUGUAAUUUUGAAUACUAUACAAACAUCAAUCUAAAAAUAAAUCAAAUAAAUUUAAAUAAAUAAUUAAUUAAUUAAAACAGUAUGUACAAGCCACAACGAAUGGAGAGGACCAUUAUGAUACCUAGUGACAAAUCUCUUUGGAGAUUCUUGCCUUGUCAUGAUUUAAAAUUCUUAAAAUUACCAAAAAAGAUAAAAGGGUAAACUAUUAGAAAAAAAAAAAAAAAAACCAUACCUCGACACUCAUAACUAAAAGUGUAAAAUAUAUAUUAGUACUCGUAAAUUAUUCGGGUUCGAUUCAAAAAAAACUCGAAUUCAGUUCGAUUAUUGUCGAGUCGAGCUCGAAUUUGAAUAGCUCGACUUAUUGAUCGAGUCGAAUUCGAGUAUUCUUAUAUCUGACUCGAAUAGUUCAUGAGCCUAAUCGAGCUUUUAUAUUUAAAUAUAUUUUUAUUAUUUUAAUUAAUAAAAUAUUUCGAGUCCGAGUUCGAGUUCGCGCAUGAAUAAUCGAACUCUUGUCGAGUAUACGAAUCGAGCUUAUUUUUAUAUAUUAAUUAAACUUAAUCGAGCGAACUCGAGUAACUCGAAUUCGAUCACGAAUCAAGUUCGAGCUUGAAAAAUAAAACUCGAUCGAGUUCGAACCGAAUAUCGAGUCCCGAAUUAUGAGUCAAGCUCGAACUCGAACUUCUCACUAUUCGGCUCAGCUUGGCUCGUUUACAGCCCUACUCACAACCUAAUAAAAACCAAUAUAAGCAAAAAAAAAUUAUUUAUAACUAGAUAGCAUUCCAUUGAUCCCAAAAAGAAAUACGUAUUGGAUAAUAAUAAUUCCUCAAAUUAUCAUAUUAACAUUAAAAUACAACAACAAAUGGCAAUUAUCCAGUAGGAUCUUUGUAGCAAAUUCAUAAAAACAAUCUGAUAAAGACAAACAUCAGAAGUUCUAAUAGACCAGUGAUUAUAGUUUCAUACAUAGAUACUUUUUAUACAUAUAUAUAUGUAUGUAAGUACACAUGUGCAUAUGUAUGUGUAUGUAUAUAUAAAUACAUGCAUACAUCAAAGUUGAAUACUAAGGGCAUAUUUUUGAUAAACUAUGCUUAAACAAAAAUUAAUUACUACUCAUAAUAAUCACAUUUAGAAACAAAAAUUAAAAUGACAACCAUAAAAAUCAAGAUUAUACAAACAACAAAAGAAACACAACGUUUAUCUUUACAAAUAAAAAUCAUGUUGCUUUCUUAUAAAAACAUACACUAUCUUUAAACUUUCAUUGACACAACAAUCUCAUCAAGCUAACAGUUCCUAAAGCAAUAAAUCACAAACCAUAUUUUAUUCAUCUUGUCAAGAAGGAACAAGUGCACGUCAUGACCCUUUUGUACUUACUGGGAAAUUCAAAAGAUUCAAGGGAGUUCAAGUCCUUACGAUCUUCCUCAAUUCUUUAACCUCACUCUUUUAUAUUUAUUUAAAAAAAAAAAAACUAAAAGCAAGAAAUGGACCGAAAGAGAAAAAGAAUGAUAGAUCUGAUUGUGGGUAGGAAAAAAAAAAAAAGAAAGAAAGUAAAGAAUAUGAAAAAUGAAAAAAAAAAAUAAAAAUCCACUCCUACUUAACCUUUGGCCUUUGUAUUUUUUUCCUCAACCCAAAAGAUUUGUUGUAUAAAACUGAAAGGGUUCAUGCGGAAGAGAAGUCAUUAAAAGAUUGGCUAAAACUCAAAAACAAAAAAAACUAAACGGAGCUGAAAAGUUGGGAAAUAGAAAUGAUUGAUUAAAUAUUGAAUAAAAAAAAAAGAAUGAAAGUUUUUUCGCCUUUUUUUUUUUUUUUUUCAUUCCUUUUACAUAUGAUUUUUAAAAUAUUAAAUAUAAAAAGUAUAAUAAAAAUAUUUUAAAAUAAGAAAAGCAAAAUCAAAGGUGGCAUGUGAAGAAGGUAAAAGAUUUUUAGUACAGGUUUGAUGUUUGUUAGGUGUUAGGUUUCUUUGUAUAAAAAUAAAAAAGUGUGAUGUUUUAUCUUUACGAAUUAAAAUAGAGUUGAAAUCGGAUCAGAUUUGAGACAAAUUUUAUUCAUUUUAAAUUUAAUUUAAUUUUAUAUGUUAUAAAUUUGAAUUUAAUUUUAUUUAAAUUUUAUUUUAUUUUUUUAUAUUCGAAUUCGAUCUCGAUCAAAUAUUAUAUAAAUCGUGUGAUUUUAUUCCACUCGAAAUUAAUAAAAUAUUUAUUUUUUAAAAUAUAAAUAUUAUUUUUUAAAUAUAAAUAUUUUAAAAUAUCAUUAUAUAUAAAUAAAAAAUUAAUUAAUUAAAAAAUAAAUUUUUAUAUAAUUUUGGGUUGAAUUGAGUUUAUUUAAAAUUCGAUCCUGACUUGAUCUCAUUUGUUUCAUAAUCUUACUCGACUCAAAAUUCGAAUUUCAUAAAAAAAAAAUGAUUUCGUAAGAUUGAAUCAAAUCAAAAUCUGUUUGUGAUAGAUUAAAUUAUCCACCUUAAAUCAAAAACUCAAAAAAAUAACAAAAAAUAAGAACAUUUAAAAAUUAACAAAAAAAUAUUUUUAUCAGAUUUCUUUAUUUUUCAUUCACCAACUUUUUUCAACCUUUCACCGAUUUCCAUCUCUUCACUGACUCUUUUUAUGUAGACAAAUCAAUCUCUUAUCAAUUUCUAUCAUCAAUCCACGAAAAAUCAAUUUAUUACCAAUUUUAAUCAUAAAAAAAAUCAUAAAAAAUUAAAAAAAAAUUUAUUUUUGCCAUAGGCUCUAACCCUCUAAAAACAAUCUUUAUCCCAAAAAAAAGUGAAAAAAAAAGGUAAGGUGGGAAAAAAAGCUGAUGACGUGGACACUUCCAAAAGGCUCCAAUCUCUACAACUUUCAUUUUAUAGAUUUUUUAUUCCCCUUUUUUCUUAAUUUUAAAAGUUUAAUUGAUUAUAAUUUAAAGAUUAAUUGAUUUAAUUUUAUCAUAUGACUAAAUUUUAUUAAAUUAAAAAUUUAAUUGAUUCAAAAUAAAAAAUUAAAAGUUAAUUGAUUGCAAUAAAGUAUUAUAAAAUUAAAUAAUUAUUAAAUUUGUGUUCGGAAUUUUUUUUACUUUGUUGACAGAAAAACCAUUUUGUUGUGAGUUUCUUAGUACAGGGAUCAAUAUAUUAUUUUUUAUAAUUUAGGAAUCAAAACGAUAUUCAACUAAAAUUUUAAAGAAUUCACUCUUAAUAUUAUAUAUUCAUAAAAUAUUAUUUUUAAAUAAAUUAUAUUUUAAUUAUAUAUAAAUAUAAUAUUUUAUUAAAUUUACAUUUUAAAUGAAAAUAUUAAAUAAUAAUAUUAAUACAUAAAUAUAAAAUUAAAUAAACAAUAAAAUAUAUACCUCAAGGCAAAUCAAAACAAAAUAUCCCAAAACCCAUAACCAUUUUUAUCAGAUCCGAAUAAAAAUUCAUCGAGUUCGAAUUGUUUUGCAAUCAACCUUUGACUGCAAUGCUUAUUGGCAGAGUAUUGUAUUAGAUGCAGAGAGCGGUUUAGACUCUAAACACAGUGCUUGGUAUUCACAAAGUGAAGCAAAAUAACCAGCAAAUCCGACUAGAUUCAAGCAAAACAGGAGUUCCUAGCAGCCAUUCCUAUUCAUAUUGUUUGAAUAUCUUACUGAUUCAAUUACGAUGAAAUGCCCCUCCGAUUUGGUCUCUGAGAGCAAGCAUUCUGUUGCCUUGGACAUCAGCGCUAGAAAGAUACUCAUAUACAGAUGCUACAAAGAGAAAUUGACUGUUACAUUACAGAAAAGACGAGGAAAGAAUAGGAUUCAACAUCAAGAAACCAGCGAAAACAGAGAAUGUCUAAGAGGCACGAAUCAAAUCAUUCAAAGAAAUCAUCACCGAACAAAGCACACGAAAACAGUCGAUAGUAUUCCACUCCCCAACAAGAUGUUUGGGGAAUGGUCUUCAAGUUUGCUAGCACCAGCACCAGCAUCACCACCAGAAUUUGUUAUUUUCAAACACUGCACUCAGUCAGCAGUCCAACUCUGCUCCACGAUUUCACGCACUCUUAGGUUGUACUCCCGCUUAUUCUCACUAAACACGCGAGCAGCUUCAAAGUUUGCUGGACAGUUUAGGUUUGGCUUACAAAGUAGAGACUGGCACAAGCACAACAAUGUAAUUAGCAUGUUUAAUAUGCUUUAAUUGAGAACCUUGGAAUCACAUUUCCUCAACUUUUGAGCAAAGCAAACUAAGUUAAUCAAACUGCACAAUAAUAAUUAACAAGAAAAACCAUACAUACACAACAAAGUCCUGAUUAGAGACCACUUUUCAAAAUGCUUGCUUUAUGUUAAUCAGAACAGUACCACUUAAUCACAACUUUCAAAGCAAUUCCUAUCAAAUGCAAUGAUUUAAUAACUGCUCAUAGGAUGAAGUUGUGAGGAUCAACAAGCAUCUUACAUCUCUUCACCCACCAUAAAAAGGAUUAAACUCGAUCAUAGUGCAUAUGACGCCAACAGUUAUUCAGCCACAUGUGCAAAGACUUAUGCUGACUGCCUACUGAAAAGAAUAUCGAACCAUGUUUAAAACAAAGAACAAGAAUGAAAUGUGCCUGCUCUAAUGUACCAAAAAGAUGAACAAGAACAAGACAAAAAGGCUUGCAAUAUUUAAGUUUCUUUUCUUCAAGUGGAAGCUUUUGCCUUGUUUAGAAUGUAGGUCCAGAUAUGUAGUCUAAGCAAGAUGAAGGGGAUGGGGAUGAACUGAAUGUGCUAGAGAAGCUGGAGGACUGUGAAAUAAGCUAAUAAAGUUUUCAAACUCAUGGCUUUAACAAGACUAAAAACCUCUUCUCACGACCAGGAUGUAUGAUCCUUGACAACAGCUCAACAAUCAGCACAAGUUCUCAGAAAGUAACAGCUUUGAGAUACUUCAUUCAGAGACAUGGACUAACCUCCUUUACACAAAUUCUAGCCAACUAUUCCCAUGUUUUUCUGUGCAAUAAAUAAAUAAGAUGCCAAAGAUACGAGGGGUAUUCAUCAACUAAGGGAAGAGAUGAAAAAGAGAAAUAUGAAAUAUGAAAUAUGAAAUGCAAGAAGUCAGUAAAUUCUGAAAAGGGGCCAUGAAGGAAGGAUAUGUAGGUUUUUCCCAUGUUUAGUCAAAGAAUAUGCAAAUAACAUAGGCUCCUGCAAAAUGGAUCUAAUUCUUUAGUUCUUGUUUCUCUGAUAUUCAAGUUCCUUCUAGAAAACUCUCUUCUACAGAUAUACUUUACGUUUUAAAAGAAUUGGACUUGUUUGAUGUUUUAUGUCUCAUUGUUAACUGUUUUUGGUGCUUUCUUGUAUACUUCCCUUCAAUGUGAAUGUGUAACAGAGAGGCACCCUUUUACAACAUUAUGAAUUAUUACUUUCAUUUAUAAGAAAAUGAUGGAGAGUUAACAGAACAAAAGCUCGGGCCAUACUUCCUGCAACCUCUUCCUCAAUUAUCUAGUAAAAAGGUGGUGAACAAGUGCAUCCACUGGCAUUAUCAAAAUUUUUUAAACAUAUAAAAGGCUACAUCCAAAAUCUGCCACUAAGGCCAGAUAGAUCAGUCACUCUUUUGUUUUAUCGAGUUUGUUAAGUGAUACUCCAGGUCAAACAGAAUUGUCAGUUAUUACACGAUCUAGUACUACUAGCAUCUUACCACCUUUACUCCAUGUAAUAAAGACAGGAAAUUUUCACAUAUAGAGGGAGAAACCCUCCAUCCCUCAAUUUUGUUCCACCAUGCAUGACAUGCAUAAGCACUUCGUUAAAGAACCAAGACAUUCUUACCUAUGAAAAGAAAUUUUACAGACAUUAUUACCUACGAAAAGAAAUUUGACAAUGACAACUUAUUGACUUUUCUUCAUGGACAAAAAGGAGAAAUAGACAAAAGUUAAAGGUAGAGGAAUAUGACAGCCUGUCCAUUCCCAAAAUUGGCCUACAAUUCAAUUAUGGUACAUAGACCUACAGCCUGCAUAGGCAGAAUUAUAUCUCUACCACACAUGCAUCCUCCUGUACUGCAGUUUAUAUUGCGUUAUCCUCACAACCACUCUAGUUCUGUCAAAAGGCUUUAGUUUAUUAAAGUUUAAUAUAUCAAGCUUCCACAGUUCAAUUAUUUUCAGGGAGUCAAAUCUUUGGCUUAAUAAACUUUUUACGUUUCUCAUGUGCCUAGGUUGUGAAUGAAUCUCUUUGUAUGUAUUAUAUGUCACAUCUUUCCUUAUUAUCUUUUUUCGUUUGUUAUUAAAUGCAAACACUGAUUGGCCAAAAAGAAAAAAAACAUAAACGCUAAGACAGACACACAGCAAUAGCCAAAUGACUUAUGCAGUAAAUAUUAAUAUUAAUAACUGAAAAUUUCUCGAUUAAGGUUUCUCAGAUUGACAUACUUUAAGAAGCUAAUUGUAAUCACCAAAAUAUCAAUGAAAAGUAUGCUCAUCACAUUGAUAGUUGUGAUAGACUCAACUUAAGCAAAGGCCUCAUACUUUGUUGCAGGAAAACAGAUAGCAAAGAGGAACAACCACUCAUGCAAAAACAUAGAUAACUCAAAAAGUUUGAAUUUGAAAUCAACAAAGUGCAAACACCAUGGUUUAGGGGAAGCCAUUGAUGAGAAACAAUUUCUUCAGAAAGAAAAUAAAAACGCAUAGAAUGCUGCACCUGGAUAGAUUUGAGUAUAACUGCAACACUACACCGAUUUUGCAAAAUAUAAAGACAAAACCUCCCAUCUGCAUAAACUGAUCAAGACAUGACAGAUUAUUAGAUGGCAAAAGACAAAAACAGACCCAUUUUGCACAUAAGGCCACAAAAAAAAAAAAAAAAAUCAAUGAACAAAAUCUUGUACAUACUAUUUGGAUGGAACAUUUGUGAGACGAACCGGACAGUUGGAGGCUUAUUUGGAUAAUCCUCCGUAAAAUGCAAAGUCAACUUGAACGUACCUGAAAAAUCUCAAGAAAUUUCUUGUGUCACAUGAGAAAUAAAAAUUAAUUUAGUAUCCUUAAAACAAGAAGAUUAAAAUAUCACUAAGGUGGUAACAGAAAGAAUAACUAGGCAAUAAAAAACAAGAAACCAGUGACUAAUGUGUCAUGUAACUCAUGAGUCAUACUAUUCAUUUUAUUGAUUCCAGCCAAAACUCGUCAAAGCUCAUGAAAAGUGCACCUAAAACAUAAUGUCCUUUUUCUUGCAAAAGAAACAUGAAAUGUCUAAACACCAUAAAAUUAACAAUUUAUUAAGUCUUAACCUUGCUACCCCUACCAAGCCCUCAAUAUCCUCUUUACAAUCAAAACACCAGGUUAUAUCAACAAAAAAUUUGCACAAAGUUUACCAUUUCAAAUGUCACAGUGUUAAAUUCCAAAGAUUUCAUGUAAAAAUUUCACAAGUCAUAGUAACAAGGAAAAAAUCACACCAAAUUCCAACAAACAAGCGAUAUACUGAACAUGACUUACUAAUUCUUCAUGCUAAACUGAUCAAACAAAACAUUCAACAGCAGAUAGCAGCAAAGAAAAGUAAAGAAAAUGCAAUAUCUAUUGCGGCCAAAACCAAUGAUCAAUUGACAAUAAUCAUCAUAACCAUCAACAGAAAACACAAGAGGACUAAACCAUAAAAAAAAGGAUAAACUCUGGAGCCAAACAUCACAAAAUAGUUCAUCAAUAAUAAAACAGAUUGCGCAAAAAUUCAACCACACUCCCCCUUCAUCAGCUCAGAAAAUCAUGUGUCCUUGAAUCAUGUAUCAAUGCAUAUUGAUUUAAGCAUGCAUGUUCAAAAAUCCAUAACAGUUCAAAUUUCAAGGAAAAAUGACUAAAUCAGCGGGAACUGAAACAACAAAAUGAUACCAAUUCGUUGAUUUUCACCUAAAACACAAAAAGGUAACAUAAUUAGCAGCUCAAAUUUCACAACUCCACAAAAAUCCAAUAAGAAAACGUCAAUAGCAUAACAUAUAAAACAAAAAAUUUAUAAAAUUCGAGUGAAAGAAAACAAAAACAGAAAAAAAGAACAAAUUUUUACCUCCUUCCCAUGGAGUACCAUCAGGCCUGCAAAAAAAUCAAAAACCCCAAAAUUAAAAAAUAAAUCAAAAAGAGAAAGAAAGGAAGGAAUUGAGAAAUACCCAAAAAUGACAGCGUUCCAAAGCAUGAUAUUAGUUUCUUGAGGAGAUACACUAAAACCAGCAGGUGGAUCCUGCUGUAGGCUCUUGAAGUCUUCCAUCAGCCUCUUCCUCGCUGGGGUUGACAUAGCCUUCCUUCUUUUUCUAAAACCAAUCCAAUCCUAAAUAAAAGAAAAAAAAAACCCAAUUUUCUUUUACAGAGAGAGAGAGACCUGUGGGAAAAUCUAUGAAAUAUCCAUCUCUGGAAUUUUGGGUGUUUCACAAAAGAGAGGUCAAGCUACGUUUUUUUGUUUUCCUUUCUCUUUUUUAGCAAAGGAGUGUGGGUUUGUUUUUAUAUGAUAAGUUUUGAAACGGACGAAUAGUAUGCUGCCACAUCAUUGCCAGCUAAUUUCUAUUUCUAUUUUUUUCUUUUUUUUUUUCCCAAACUUUUGAUGAUCUUUUUACCCAUUUUUUUUAUUGUUCUAUUUUCCCAAAUUUUGUAUUAGUAUUUUAGAGGAGGAAAAAUUAAAAGAUUGUGUAACAUUAUUUUAUUUUUAAUACAUAUAGCAUAAAGGUUUAUAAAAUGUAAAGCUUUAUUAUAUUUUAUAUUAUACAAUAAUAUAUGUUUAAAGAAAAAAAAUUAAACUUGAUGUUAAUUUUGAAGGUAAAAUAAAAUUUGUAGCAUGAAUUAGUUGGGUCUAUGAUUGACUUUUACUCAUUUUGAAGUUGUAGAUAAAUAUAAUAAUUCGUGUAUUUGUAUUAUAUAAAAUAUUAAAAUUUAUAUAUUUAUAUCAUAUUUUAUAUAAAAAUUAUGUAUGAUCAUUUGUGUCAAUAUAAAAAUAUAAAAUAUAUAUUUUUUAUUUUAUUAAAUACAUUUAUAAUUAUUGUUAUAAAAAUAUACUUUUGUAUACAUUUAUAAAAAUAUACUUUUGUAUCUUAAUUUUAUAUUAUAUUUACGUCAUAUUACUAUAAUAUAUUUUAGAUUAUCAUAUCUAGCUAUAACAAAAAGUAAGUGGAAAAGAAUAAAAAAUAAUUACACUUGCACACGGAUGCUUGCAUUUGGUGUCUUACAUGUUGAGAUGUGAAUUUUGAGAAUGUGAUGGUUGAGAAUUAAAUUGUUGAGAGGAUAAGAUUACAAUAUUUAAUAUAGAUGAAAUUUUGUUGAUUAAAAUUCUCAUUACUUCUAAAAAAAUUCACGUUAUUAUUUUUGGUGAGAACAUGAUAUCCAUGAAAAAAAAAAUUGUAUUUUCAGGAAUGUAAUAUAACAAACAUGAAAAUUUACUUUCCACCAAUAAAAAUUAAAAGAUAUGAGUGCAUCCCAUCAUACCAAACCUCAACAAGCGGGAAAAAUAUAAGAUUAUUCUCAUAAAUCUAAUUGGCAUAUAUCAUAUAUGUUUAUUUUAUGGUUUGGGAAUAUAGAGUAUAAGAUUAUAUAAAUAGAAAUAUUUUUGCAUAGAAGAAAAGAAUCUGUAUGACUCAUAUCUAUAUUUAAUAAAGUCAGAAUUUUAUUGAUUUUAAGGGAAAAAGAAAAAGAGAAGGAAAAAUAUAUAUAUAUAUAUUCUAAAGUUUAUCUCCGAUGAUUAGCAAAAAUGGCCGGAAUCUGGCUAUUGUUCAUCAUCUUCGUCAUCAUGGCAUGGCCUGGAGAGCUGAAGACGGUCCAUGCUUUGAGAAGAAUUAGGUGCAGUAGUUUCAGCCACAAGGUCAAAAUUGGAGGUGAAGUUGCUUAUGUUUAUGAGGUUAUUGGAAGCUGAGGAAUUGUUUGAGUAUGAUGGCUGUAGCAAUGCAAUAUGUUGUUCAUGAUGUUGUUGUUGCUGCUGCUGUUGCUGUGAGCUUUGAAGGGCAUUUGCCAUGACAAAUCGACUGUUAAUCAGUUGGUUUUGCACCAUUGCUAGCUCGGCUUGUAGAGAUGCUACCUGCAAAAACAUACAAUAAUUUUCUAUCCACUUUAAGCAUGAAUUACUCAUUCUAUUUCACUUCACUAUCAAGAACAACGCAUAAAUGGAUUCAAAUCUGACCAACAAAAGAAAGGAAGACAUUAGAUACGGUAGUGCUUGUGUGUUAAUUAACCUGUUGUUGUAAGGAAAGUAUGGUUGAGACAACCAUAAACAGGGUCCGAUAGUCUGGCCUGAGCUUCAUAUGAUAUGGUGACCACAGCGUCAUGUCUCCGGUUCAUCGGAAUGUGCAGCAAGAGCUUUGAAACGUUACUAGCACCGAAAACCUUGUGCACGGCAGCAAACCUGGCUGCACCCUGGUCUGAGCCAAAGUGGGGUGCAAAAAUGCACCCACUAAUACACUUCCUUCUCAAGAACUUGCAUGCCCCACAUGGGGAUGCUGGGACUGGGGCAAGUUCUGCCACCUCUGGCUCAGCCUCAACCGGCAUGGUGGCCCGCUUGCCAGUGCCCUUCCUACGAGUUUCAGAAACGCCAUGGCAUUGUGGCUCAGCCAUUUCAGGGAUAUUAUAGGUUCAAAGAAAGCAAAUGAGAAAGGUGGUGAUUUUGGUUGCUUAUAUGUGAAUAAAAUGGAAUAGGAGGGCACGUUUGUCUCGUGAAUGGGGUUGCCAAGAGAAAUGUGGUAAGCUUCCUUUUCUGUCUUUCUUUUUUCUGUUGGGUUCAAAAAAAAACUUUAUAAUAUCAAAAUCAAAUACAGAAAGAGAGCAGGGGCGUUAUCGUUGUGGGGAAGGGAGGGAGUGAAAUGAGAAGAGGCUGAGUGGUGUGAGGAGCACGUGCAAAGGGAGUGGCUUCGUUUGAGUCUUUGAGAUAAUGGGAUUUGAGGAUUCGUUUAAAUUAGUAGUUUAACCAAGGUGUUAGAUAUGAGAUAAUAUAAAAUGAUAGAACAACAUAAAAAAAAAGAAAGAAGAAGUUUCAUUUUUAUGUGCUAAUUUUAAACGUUAUACGGUGAUAUGAUACAAAAAAAAAUAUGAUUUAAAAUUUUAAAAAUUUAAAAAAAUCGAUAUAAAUUUGAUAUAAAAUAUUAUUUUGUAUUUAAUAUAUCGAUAUGAAUUAUGAUAAAAUGAUUUUCAUAUUUUACACUUGUUAUAUUAAAAAUAGAUAGACACAUUUACAUGAAUUGCUAGGUCCAAUUUCACGUGUGGGAGUUGAGGAGGGGUUGUCUUUAUGGGAAGGCACAAGAUUUGUGCUGCCCGUGGCGUGUGGGAUUAGUAGCUAGCUACCAAACUUGCAUGGUUGUCAUGCCAAAAUGCCAUGAAUGAAGUUUCAGCUUCUAGUCCGUUCUUGUUGUAAUGAUGUGUAUAAUACCAUAACUUGCCAUUACUGGAUUUAGUAUAUAUUUGACAGUUUUUCAUUACAAAACAAAAUAAAACUCUUAUGUCCAAAUGGAACCGAACAUAGUUGUCCUAGCUAGUUAACUUGUACCAUCAACCUAAGCUACAACAAAACUGACAUCUUGAACAGACAAGACAAACUGUAGUUGCAUUUGAGAAAAGGAGGGUAGAGUCAGAGAACUGGAGCAUAUUUUCUGAGACAAACGAAUUUGGACAAGAAUCAAGACCGUAAAUCGUCAACAGAUGGAGAACAAAAACACAUACUGUUGCUCUCCUUGUCCAAUUAGCAAGCUAGGUAAUUUAUGCUUCCAGAAGGAAUGAAACUUCAAUUUUGACUAAGGGUCCAUUUUUCAUGAACGAUAAAAACGACUCCAAUGAGAUUAAAAACAAUAGUGUCGAUGAAAUUAAUUAUUAUAACAAUGAGGUUGAAUAUUGUAGUAAUAACAUUAAUAUCAGUGAUGGGGAUAUGUAUUUUUGGAUAUAAAUAACAGUGAGAUUAGAUAUCACACUUAACUGCCAUAAUUGAAAAAUGUCUUAUAUUUGAAUUUACACCAAGACAGUCAAGUGUCUAAGGUUUAGACCCUUCCCCUUCCCACCUCUAACUGAGGAGGCAGUGAAGUUGAAAACCUUCAACUGCAUAAUUGGGGUGCUAAUGCUAUCCAAAUGUACCCCACAGUGCAGUUGGAGGCGAAAAGGGGCUUGGAUUUGAACGCAACGAGGGGUUAGAUGGAAUCCUGGAUUUCUAACAUGUAGAUAUUGAAAAGUUCUACUUGCAGUGCUCUGUGUACCAAAAAACAAAGGUUCUCUAGCAUGGUUCUCUUGAAAAGAAACAACAGAAAAUUAGCCUCAAAUUGGGCUUGCUUGAUUGCCUUAAAUCUCAUGGCUAUACAUUUGGUUGGGACAAUUAAUUUACAAUUUUAUGAGCAUCACCAGUCAAUUGUGGAGCAAUGCUUUCGGUUAAUGAGAGCUUAGGUAUUUUUCAAGUAUGUUCUGAAGGCAAAGUUCCAAAACAACAAGAGCUGCUACAGAAACAUUUCAAGCCCUUCGGCCUGACUCUAAUUUCGCCAUAGCUAAAAGUGAGCUCCUUAUCUUCUUUUAUGUCUUUUGAAGCAAAGAAACAUAGAUGAGGCAACAAAGCUCCUGACCUUCUCACAAGUACUGUUGAUAAAUUACCACCAUCACAAGAAUGGUUAAUGAAGCGAGCAACAUUUCCAGCUCUUGUGGCAUCUAUAUUAAUCCUCAAGCAUGCCUUCCCAGAUGGAAGAUGUUCUCUCACAACUAGCAGAGCAGAAGAAAAGUGGCUGUCUGAAGCAAGUUCAUCAUAGAUUUGUUGCCUCCUCCUAGCUUCUUUUGUUGUUAAAAGCUCACCUAUCCAAGCAAAUUGCAAACAGAACAGCAUUUAAGGACUAAUCUCCAGAGAUAAGAAUCAUGAACCAGCUCUGCACAAAUGAGGAAUAACAGAAGCAAUAACUUCCAUCCAAAAUAUGUCCCCAAGCAAUGUCUUCCAGACAGUGUGUUCUACUUUGGGGACACUGAAUGAUGUGCACAAAGUAUGAAACCGAACAGGGAUGAUGGAGAGGAGGUGGGGGUAAAUCAUGAUUAAAGCCUUAGCAUCUUGUGUCCAAUGAGGUUUACAAAAGCUUUUUGAAUGACGUAAAAGUUUAACACCAACAUUAAUUCAAUAAGACCGCCGUCACUUUGUAUGGGAAAGACACAUUAAGGACUUACAACAGUAAGAACCACAAAGCAAGGACAAGAAGAUGGCAACAACCUGAAAGCAGAAAUGGGAUGAUGCAAGAAAAACCAUCAGUCUGAUCAAUAAAGUGUGACGCCCCCCAUUUUGCAAAAGAUGCCAAGUUGUUACACAUUGGUGACAUGAAGCAAAAUAGCAUGGAGGAAAACAGGGGAGAAACACAAAAAGCUACAUGGAUUGCUCAAGGAGAAGUAUUAUCUAGCUUGCAUCAUUAAUUAGUGAUGGUGAUGUCACUAUAUUAUGCGCAUGCAUAUCUUCAAAGUUCAAAGCUUAUUUCCUUUUUCCUGUGCUUUCUCCAAGUCAUCAUAUCUUCACAAGAGAAAUAUUAUCUAGCCUAAGUCUAGAUCUGGCAAUUCAUGUAUAUGUGUUUGUUUAUUUCAUUUCAAACACGCGUAAAAUAUAAAAAUUCCUGUAUCAAAUUCAUGUGACUUGUCCAACACAACACUUUUUUUUUUGCCAAACCCAUACAUGAUUUUUGCUAAAAUUUUAAAUAGUGAUGCUUUCAUUUUUUCGUAACGUUUUCAUAUCCUAUCACAUUUUCUUGUUUAAAAUGGUCAGGCUGACCAGAGUCGUGCUUCUCAUUUCUUAAACCCAGUGCUAUCUUUUAAGAAUCAUCAAUUAGUUUAACCAAAAAUAACCAACACAACAAUUGGCAAAUCUUCUGAGAAUGCAACUGAAUUCACCUAAGAUACUAUAAAAAGAAAUCCUCGCAACAUUUUCGUAUUAAAUGAUUCAUUUUGGAGUAAAAGAAAAAAUACAUAUAACUAAGGAACAAAGAAAGCUAAAAUUUGAAAAUAACUAAUAAGUACCUGCAUACUCACAGACGAAUUGCCCCCGCUGAAUCCAUUGAGCAGCAUAUAAGCCCCAUCCUUUUCUUACAUCUCUUACAAUCUUCAACUUAACUUGUAUGCCUCUCUGGCUCAGUCGAUUCCCACACUGCAACCCGCAGCCGCAACUCGGUCCGCAUUCACUCAUUAUCCCCAUCCCCUCGGACCACUCCAACUCCAUGCACGGACAUCCAAUCACAUUAUCUUCACUCACCUUUUCACACCUCUCGCACUCACACCCCGACGCGUCCACCACACCCACCCAACUUGCUCCAAGUCGAGUCAUCGAGUCAUCAGCACAACCCAUUUCAGCAUCCGGCAAGCUCAACCCAGAAGGUACCUGACUCUGCGACGACUUGGGUCCCCAAGAUUGGCGCUUUAAAGAAGGAAAAGAAGAAGAAGAGGAGGGGCUGAUUUGAGAAAGGGUGUAGAUGAAGUGGGCAUAAGGGUAUUGAUCGACCGUGUUAUGAAAUGGGAUGGGAAGGUUUUCAAACGAUCUGGAAGCGUCGAGGGAGCGGUGGAGAGUUAUGGAAAGGGAAAGUUGGUGAAGGGUUUUGCAGGUGAGGGAGAUUGUAGCGAGUUCUUGAGGGGUUAGCCAUGGAAGGACCAGGACUGCGCAUUGAAAGAAAGGGUGGUUGAAGCCUCGGCUUCCUGGGUCUAGCUCGUUUUGAUGGGAUUUUUUGGG
rnacentral:lncRNA from 1 species